rnacentral:lncRNA from 1 species
CUUAUUUUUUCAUCAUCUUCUAGAACUUGUGUGAAUUUCUUCAUGAAAUCUUGAGCUUUCCCUGGAUCAGGAAGGUUUCUUGUUAUGACCAUCACUUUUGAGAAUAUAGCUUUACUGCUGGCAUCUGUUUUUGGUUGUUUUAUUAGGUCAACCAAAUCUUUUACUUGAUGUCGUAGCAGAUUCUGACAUUUCCACAUUUCGUUCAAUGCUUUCACAGCAUUUGAAUCCAGUGUUGCGUAAAGGUAAUACAAACAUUUCAUUCGUUCAUUUGUUUCCAAGUUGUGAGGGACCAUGUACUGAGCAAAGAUGCGUUCGACAAGUAAUCGGUCGUCAAUACUGUUUUGAUAAUAUAUAUGCAGAAGUUUAUCUUUGAUCCACGAUAUCUGUUUUGCAGCUUCUUUUCCUGCUUCUGACUGUAAUGAAUAUUUCUUGUAUAUCUGUGCAAGUCCCAUCAUAGCUUCUUUCCUCACUCUCCACCGCUUGUCCAGUGUUCGUUCUCUGACAAAAUUAAGCAGGUGAUCAUUGACAAGCAGAAGAUCUUUUUUAGCAGCAGUAACUAUGGAUACUAUAACAUCAUGCCUUAUCGCCUCUUCAGGAUCAUGGGACCUUACUUUAAGAUAUUCUGUUAAGUCUUUUGCUAGGUCGGGAUGGUUCAUAAGGCAGUGACUUGCAAAUUUCACACAUUCAAGACGAAUAGGUACAUGGAUAUCAUUAAACCUAUUUUGAAACAAGACAAUACAUUACAACAAGAACAACGACAACAACAACAAAAAAUCAUAAAAAAAUAGUCACUCAUUACUCACUUAUUUCUACACAAUCUCCAAUACUCCCUGAAAU